ACGAACGCUGGCGGCAUGCCUAACACAUGCAAGUCGAACGAGACCUUCGGGUCUAGUGGCGCACGGGUGCGUAACGCGUGGGAACCUGCCCUUAGGUUCGGAAUAACUCCCCGAAAGGGGUGCUAAUACCGGAUAAUGUCUUCGGACCAAAGAUUUAUCGCCUUUGGAUGGGCCCGCGUUGGAUUAGCUAGUUGGUAGGGUAAAAGCCUACCAAGGCGACGAUCCAUAGCUGGUCUGAGAGGAUGAUCAGCCACACUGGGACUGAGACACGGCCCAGACUCCUACGGGAGGCAGCAGUGGGGAAUUUUGGAAAAGGGGCGAAAGCCUGAUCCAGCAAUGCCGGGGGAGUGAUGAAGGCCUUAGGGUUGUAAAGCUCUUUUACCCGGGAUGAUAAUGACAGUACCGGGAGAAUAAGCCCCGGCUAACUCCGU
rnacentral:rRNA from 1 species